GACGAACGCUGGCGGCGUGGAUUAGGCAUGCAAGUCGAACGGUAGGAUACCUUCGGGUAUCUGAGAGUGGCGAACGGGUGAGUAACACGUAGGUGAUCUACCCUCAAGAUUGGGACAACCCAGGGAAACUUGGGCUAAUACCGGAUGAAAGCAGCAGUGAUGUUGUUUGAAAGGUGGCGUAAGCUGCCGUUUGGGGAUGAGCCUGCGCUCUAUUAGUUAGUUGGCGGGGUAAAGGCCCACCAAGGCGAUGAUAGAUAGGCGGCCUUAACGGGUGGUCGCCCACACUGGGAUUGAGAUACGGCCCAGACUCCUACGGGAGGCAGCAGUCGAGAAUAGUCUACAAUGGCCGGAAGACUGAUAGUGCGACGCCGCGUGAACGAUGAAUCCCUUCGGGGUGUAAAGUUCUUUUAUAUGUGAGCAGUGCUUCUUAUAUUAACAGUAUGGGGAGAGAGAUAUUAGCAUAUGAAUAAGCAACGGCUAACUCCGUGCCAGCAGCCG
rnacentral:rRNA from 1 species